rnacentral:lncRNA from 1 species
CCAGCUCCAGGUAGCAGGCUGGGCAGGGCUAGGUGGGGCAAGGCAUCCUUUUGUGGUCUAAUUCAAUUCCUUGGGCCAGUUCAGGCCUGUGGAGAGCUCCAUGGGAAUGAUCCACUGGGGAAAAGCCAGCCCCCACAUUGAUCCUGCAACUUCCUGGUGUAGGCUCAGCUAUUAUAGCAGCACAUAAUGUGGUGACUGACACUGAGGUCUUCUCUGACAGUACAGCUUGAUCUGCAAUCCUUUCACCUCAAAGAGAAUGGCCGGCAGGGAGCCCGUCUAUGAAGUCUUGUUGGACAACUUCACCUACACAGUCUUCAGUGAUGCUCUAAAAACAGAAGCUGACAAGAGGCUAUGGUGAUCCAGAGUCACAACUAUCUCUUCUCUCAUCCCUUCGACCAAACUUUCCUGAGCAACUCUGAUGCCAGGCGUUUCUAGCACUGUGAUAGAACCUGGGUGGAGGACAGAGGACCCUGCUUCAAAGGUAACCACCUGCCUCCUUCUGCUAUCACAGAGCUGACCUCUGUGCAGCAGAGAGCAGAGCUUGGAGGCCACUGCUGAGAAUCUGCACUCUAAAGACAUCUACCUAAAGCACGAGCUUUAUUUCUGGGCACUCAGCCAGACCUCCUGACCACAUCCUGGACUGAGGAUUUUGGAUGGUGGAACGGGGGUGGAAGUGAACAUUAA